UUAUUGGCUUCCUUGUGCUUCUGCUGGGGUGGCAGUCUUCUGUGUCCUUGCCUUUUUCCUGGAUGAUGUCUGGGCAAACUGUUCAGUUCCCGGCUGAGACUGUCCACACUACCCAAUCAUGUGGGCCCUUUCCUUCCCCCUUGGACGCUUCCGUGGGAUCGCAGUAAAGUACCAUGCUCACAGCGUAGUAUAUUUUCCACUCUAGCUGUGCCUCUGUUGUAGCAGUUACUGACUCCUCCCCCCCCCCAUCAGACGGGAAGUCCUACAACUUGGACGUGGCCUACUCCCCCAUAGAGUUCCCAUUUUAUUGGGGGGAAGAGAAGACAAAGACAAAGCAAACCCCAUAAGCAAAAGGCUUGAACUGGGUUUCUCCAGACUCUUUUUUUUUUAAGACAGCAGCACCUGUAUCACAUAGCAAAGGCUGACCUUGAAGUUCUGGUCCUCCCACCCUCACCUCCGAGGACUGAUCUUGCAGCACACAGGAGGCUCUCACAAGGAGUGACUGGUGUGACCUGUCAGCUGUCCUGAGAACAAAGGGCACCAGGCUGUAGAGAUGACAUGGCUCCGACUCCGGUGGACAGCCCUUUCCCACAGUGUCUGCUGCUGUAGGAAUGCACUCAGAAAAGCAUUCCAGCCAGGAUGCUUGUGACCUGGGGUCGGUGUGUGACGAAAGCCUUCUGAACCUGGGCAGAAACCAUUACCCCGUCUAAGUGGAAAAUGGCUGUUCAGGGCAAGACACCUCGGUUAGUCA